rnacentral:snRNA from 2 species
GUUGCCUCUUUGGGACAUCCGAUAAAAUCGGAAUGAUACAGAGAAAUUAUCAAGGCCCCUGUGCAAGGAUGGCCUUAUAUAGUUCUAUGUUAGAUCAGACUUAU